GGGCUCAGCCGGGAUUUUGAACCCGGGACCUCCUGCACCCAAAGCAAGGAAUCAUACCCUAGACCACUAAGCC